GAAAGGGAAGGAAUCCUAAUGAGAGACCCCACCACGGGAACAUGGAAAUUCAAGUCUUGCACAACGAUAAAACCACAAGAUGUUGUUCUAUUUAGAUAACCCAGAGACCAGGGCAGGCUUAAGCAAAUAGGGUAAAAACAGGAACAGAAAGGACAGGAUGCAAUUUUAUGGUUUCUCCGAGAACAUAAAGUGGAAAAACAAGUUUACCCCCUAGGUGACCUAAAUGCUGGAUUCAGAGGAACCAAUAGAAUGACUGUUGCUGUGCUAAGCUGAAAACUAACCCCCUGCUCCCUAUAAAAGAUCUGUACCCUAAAGCCCGGUGUGCCAGUUCACCGAAGCUUCGGCUGAGGCAUUGCUGAGCACCCGCAGGCGCCUGUGUAGUAAUAAACUGCCUCUUUCGUGUGUUUCAUUCCGGGCUGGACAUCUGAGGGUCUUUCAUUUUGGAGGUCCCACCAAGAUCACUUCUACCCAGAUCCCUAUCUGGAAAACACUCAACAUCACUGGGAGGUAAGGAGGUGAAAUCCUGAGUCUUCGUCCACGGUCCUCACGAGCCUGCCUUCACCUCUCAGACUCAUUUGCGCGCACUGCAACUAGUCCAGAACCAGGUUUGGAAACCAUUGGCAGCGGCAUAUAAGGAAGAGCUCAAAACCCCCUCAGUGCCACAUUCCUUCGAAAUUGGAGACACCGUCUGGGUGCGCAGACACCAGAAUAAGAACCUCGAACCACGGUGGAAGGGACCCUACACCGUUCUGUUGACCACUCCUACUGCAGUCAAAGUGGACGGCAUCACCGCCUGGAUCCAUGCUUCCCACGUGAAGGCUGCACAUCCACAAGAUUCCACAGACACCUCUCCAAAUCCAGGAUGGAAGCUGCAACGCACCCAGAACCCGCUAAAGAUAAGACUUACCCGCUGUUGAUUCUCCUUGCCUUGUAUUUCGCUCUCCCUGCAUCAAAUGCUAGUCCCCAUGUCCCUAUGAGUCAAACUUGGCAAGUACUCACUCCAAAUGGGAUAAUAGCUUGGUCCAUCACAGCUACCCAUUACCCUGGAACCUGGUGGCCCCCUCUUUUCCUUGAUCCUUGCAAGCCAAUGUGGGGACAAGCCCUAGAUAUUAAAGGGAAUCAACGCCUCCAUCAUAAGAUCCAAGAAGCCUGUCCCUGUCCCUUGGAUAGCUUCUAUGUCUGCCCGAGAGACGGUAGAAAUCCAGCCCAAAUACGUACUUGUGGGGGAGAUGACACAUUUUUCUGCUCCUCCUGGGGUUGCGAGACCACAGGGGAUACCUACUGGAACCCCACCUCAAGCUGGGAUCUAAUACAGGUAGCCAAGAACUACACGGGCAAAACAGGAUCAGGCUGCCACUUAAAAAUAAACUUUACUCCGAAAGGUAAAAGAACAAUAAAUCCCUGGCUUGCCGGUAGAGCGUGGGGUCUCCGAUGGUACAUGGCUGGAUAUGACCCAGGCUUCAUAUUUAUAAUUAAGUUAACCCAAACCCCAGUUGCGACUAAUUUAAUAGGGCCUAACCCCGUACUUGGAGACCAAAAGGUUCCCUCACCACCCAGACAGUGAUGCAGUUCAUGAAAGAGAGACUUUCUAUAAUCCAAACCAUGGUCCUUACUCAACAAUACCAGUUGCUCCAGCAACAAGCAGGAUCACAGACUGAUCUGGUCCAAGAACUCGAACAGACAGAACAAUGGAUAUAAGAUUCUAUCCAUGAUAUAGAAAAGGGGGGAGUGAGAGACCCCACCACGGGAACAUGGAAAUUCAAGUCUUGCACAACGAUAAAACCACAAGAUGUUGUUCUAUUUAGAUAACCCAGAGAC